rnacentral:rRNA from 1 species
UAGGGAAUAUUGCAUAAUGGGCGAAAGCCUGAUGCAGCAACGCCGCGUGCGCGAUGAAGGCCUUCGGGUUGUAAAGCGCUUUUAGAGAGGAUGAGGAAGGACAGUACUCUCAGAAUAAGCCUCGGCUAACUACGUGCCAGCAGCCGCGGUAAAACGUAGGAGGCGAGCGUUAUCCGGAUUUACUGGGUGUAAAGCGCGUGCAGGCGGUUUGGUAAGUUGGAUGUGAAAGCUCCUGGCUUAACUAGGAGAGGUCGUUCAAUACUACCAGACUAGAGUAUGGGAGAGGGAGGUGGAAUUCCGGGUGUAGUGGUGAAAUGCGUAGAUAUCCGGAGGAACACCAGUGGCGAAAGCGGCCUCCUGGCCCAAAACUGACGCUCAGACGCGAAAGCUAGGGGAGCGA